UCGAUGAAGAACGCAGCAAACUUCAGGACACAUGAAGAUCGACAUUUUAAGUGAAUAUCGCAGCCAACUCUGGCAAAAGAAAUGGGACAACCGGAAAACAAAAUAGCGCAGUAAGUAGAGUGUGAUGUGUG
rnacentral:rRNA from 1 species